rnacentral:RNase_P_RNA from 1 species
CGAGCCGGCCAGGUAGUCGCUGGUUGUGUGCGCUGAAACGUACGCAGCGAGAGGAAAGUCCGGGCUCCGCAGGACAGGGUGCCAGGUAAUGCCUGGGAGGUGCAAACCUACGGAUAGUGCCGCAGAAAGCAAACCGCCUAAGGCACGCGUGCCCAGUGCACGCGCGCACGGUAAGGGUGAAAGGGUGUGGUAAGAGCGCACCGCGCCCGUGGUAACACGGGUGGCAGGGUAAACCCCACUCGGAGCAAGGCCAAAUAGGAAUCCAGCAGGUGUGGUCCGCACCGGAUUCGGGUAGGCCGCUUGAGGUGUUUGGCGACGAACAUCCUAGAUGAAUGACUACCCGUGAUGUGCUGGCGACAGUCAUCGCGACAGAACCCGGCUUAUCGGCCGGCUCGUUUC